rnacentral:rRNA from 1 species
AACGAACGCUGGCGGCAUGCCUAACACAUGCAGGUCGAACGGGAUCCUAGCUUGCUAGGUGAGAGUGGCGGACGGGUGAGUAACACGUGGGAAUCUGCCUUUUGGUUCGGGAUAACCGCGGGAAACUGCGGCUAAUACCGAAUGCCCUCGUGAGAGGAAAGAUUUAUCGCCAGAAGAGGAGCCCGCGUCCGAUUAGGUAGUUGGUGGGGUAAAGGCCUACCAAGCCGACGAUCGGUAGCUGGUCUGAGAGGAUGAUCAGCCACACUGGGACUGAGAUACGGCCCAGACUCCUACGGGAGGCAGCAGUGGGGAAUAUUGGACAAUGGGGGGCAACCCUGAUCCAGCAAUGCCGCGUGAGUGAUGAAGGCCUUAGGGUUGUAAAGCUCUUUUGCCAGGGAAGAUGAUGACUGUACCUGGAGAAUAAGCCCCGGCUAACUUCGUGCCAGCAGCCGCGGUAAU